rnacentral:tRNA from 1 species
UCAAGUAAUUUUACGAUGAGAUGUUCAAGUAAAAUAAACCUAGAAAAAGAAAGAAAA